rnacentral:rRNA from 1 species
AUUCAAUGGAGAGUUUGAUCCUGGCUCAGGACGAACGCUGGCGGCGUGCUUUAUACAUGCAAGUCGAACGAUGAAGUUCCUUCGGGAAUGGAUUAGUGGCGAACGGGUGAGGAACACGUGAGAAACCUGCCUUUCAUUCUGGGAUAACACCGGGAAACCGGUGCUAAUACCGGAUACUCCAUCUUGGCGGCAUCGCCGAGCUGGGAAAAAAUUUUGAUGAAAGAUGGUCUCGCGGCCUAUCAGCUAGUUGGUGAGGUAAAGGCUCACCAAGGCGACGACGGGUAGCCGGCCUGAGAGGGCGACCGGCCACACUGGGACUGAGACACGGCCCAGACUCCUACGGGAGGCAGCAGUAGGGAAUAUUGGGCAAUGGGCGAAAGCCUGACCCAGCGACGCCGCGUGAGGGAUGAAGGUCUUCGGAUUGUAAACCUCUUUCAGUAGGGAAGAAGCGAAAGUGACGGUACCUAAAGAAGAAGCACCGGCUAACUAUGUGCCAGCAGCCGCGGUAAUACAUAGGGUGCAAGCGUUGUCCGGAAUUAUUGGGCGUAAAGAGCUCGUAGGUCGUUUGUCGCGUCGAUUGUGAAAAUCUGAGGCUCAACCUCAGACCUGCAGUCGAUACGGGCAAACUAGAGUGUGGUAGGGGAGACUGGAAUUCCUGGUGUAGCGGUGGAAUGCGCAGAUAUCAGGAGGAACACCAAUGGCGAAGGCAGGUCUCUGGGCCAUAACUGACACUGAGGAGCGAAAGUGCGGGGAGCGAACAGGAUUAGAUACCCUGGUAGUCCGCACCGUAAACGGUGGGCACUAGUUGUGGGAACCUUCCACGGUUUCCGCGACGCAGCAAA